rnacentral:rRNA from 1 species
UGGGGGAUAUUGCACAAUGGGCGAAAGCCUGAUGCAGCGACGCCGCGUGGGGGAUGAAGGCCUUCGGGUUGUAAACUUCUUUUGCUCUGAACAAGGCGUACCAUGGGGUGUGUUGAGUGUAGGGGUUGAUUAGCGCCGGCUAACUACGUGUCAGCAGCCGCGGUAAUACGUAGGGCGCGAGCGUUGUCCGGAAUUAUUGGGCGUAAAGGGCUUGUAGGUGGCUGGUUGCGUCUGUCGUGAAAGCUCAUGGCUUAACUGUGGGUUUGCGGUGGGUACGGGCUGGCUUGAGUGCAGUAGGGGAGGCUGGAAUUCCUGGUGUAGCGGUGGAAUGCGCAGAUAUCAGGAGGAAUACCGGUGGCGAAGGCGGGUCUCUGGGCUGUUACUGACACUGAGGAGCGAAAGCAUGGGGAGCGAACAGG